rnacentral:ncRNA from 1 species
AGGAGCCGUAUGAGGUGAAAAUAUCAGGUACGGUUCUGUAGAGUGACAAUAAGGGUGACUUAUCUGUCAGCUUUUUCACUCACCCCCAAAAAACCAAACUCUGCCUAACGUAAAUUUGCUAGAGUACGAUUAAUCUCUGGAUUUGAA